CGAUAGCGAACAAGUACCGUGAGGGAAAGUUGAAAAGCACUCUGGAGAGAGAGUCAAAAGACCGUGAAACCGCUCAGAGUAUAAGCCCAUGGCAGCUUGGAAGGCAUAUCGCUAGCGGGGCAUCGGAAACCGACCCUUCACGGGGGAGGGGAACUGGUGUUACCUUGCUUUUGUUGUGGCUCGUCACGGUAGGGGGGUCAAGUCCACAUCCCGCCGGCGAGUGGAGAGUUCUCGGGUGCGUUGAUGCUUGGCGGUUGACCUCGGUUGAUCGUUGGGCUCUUCGUGCUCGGUUCUCUUUGGACACGGACGUUCAGACUCAAUUGCAAGACGCGAUAACCAGCCCACCACGGCACGUUGUGAGGUCACCCACAGGCUCGACUUUCGAUCGUGGUCCUUGACGCCGAGCAAGCACAAUGCGUGUCGCGGAUGUUCCUUACCAGGCAGCCCUCCGCCAGGAUCGUGGAACGACACGCGCUCAAUAGUCAGGACCAGGCGAUGACAGAGUUCUGGUAUGAUCCUCUUGCGACGAGCCGGCUUCUGGCCAAAUUCCGAUGCACAGUUCUCCCGCAUGUGCCGCGGGAGAUCGAGUCGACGGUCUGGAGCUUGUACAAGUCCUCUCAGUCGGGCAACGGAAAGAGUGGUGUAAAGUCCAAGCCCAUCGGUC
rnacentral:rRNA from 1 species